rnacentral:rRNA from 1 species
GCUUGUCUCAAAGAUUAAGCCAUGCAUGUCUAAGUAUAGUACCUUAUACUGCGAAACUGCGAAUGGCUCAUUAAAUCAGUUAUAAUUCAUUUGAUGGUACUUACUACUCGGAUAACCGUAGUAAUUCUAGAGCUAAUACGUGCGUAAAUCCCGACUUCUGGAAGGGACGUAUUUAUUAGAUACAAAACCAACCCGGGCAACCGGUCCUUUGGUGAUUCAUGAUAACUUUGCGAAUCGCAUAGCUUUAAUGCUGGCGAUGGGUCAUUCAAAUUUCUGCCCUAUCAACUUUCGACGGUAGGAUAGAGGCCUACUGUGGUGAUAACGGGUAACGAAGAAUAAGGGUUCGAUUUCGGAGAGGGAGCCUGAGAAACGGCUACCACAUCCAAGGAAGGCAGCAGG